UGGGGAAUAUUGGGCAAUGGGCGCAAGCCUGACCCAGCAACGCCGCGUGAAGGAAGAAGGCUUUCGGGUUGUAAACUUCUUUUGUUCAGGGACGAAGCAAGUGACGGUACCUGACGAAUAAGCCACGGCUAACUACGUGCC
rnacentral:rRNA from 1 species